CUUUCCUUCGUGAAGUGGCAAAUGCUAUUCAGCUCUACAGUUACAAGCCCUCAGAGUUCGAGCUAGCCAACAUCGUGUCCGAAAUAUUGCUUAAAUAUCCACAUGCAUCUUCUCUUCCAACUGCUGAGGCCAAACACGAUCUGAUUUAUAAAUUAAAGAGAAUCAUGGAGAGAAGGCGGGCUGAGUUACGAAUUGAACUAUCAGCUAAACAGAAAACCAAGUU